CAGUCGCCGCGGGAAUACGGAGGGCGCGAGCGUUACCCGGAUUUACUGGGCGUAAAGGGCGUGUAGGCGGCCUGGGGCGUCCCAUGUGAAAGGCCACGACUCAACCGUGGAGGAGCGUGGGAUACGCUCAGGCUAGAGGGUGGGAGAGGGUGGUGGAAUUCCCGGAGUAGCGGUGAAAUGCGCAGAUACCGGGAGGAACGCCGAUGGCGAAGGCAGCCACCUGGUCCACUUCUGACGCUGAGGCGCGAAAGCGUGGGGAGCAAACCGGAUUAGAUACCCCUGUAGUCCCUGUCUCUUAUAC
rnacentral:rRNA from 1 species